ACUCUCAUCAACCGAGAGGGAUUCCUCCCAGCCGGUGAGAGUAUACACUCUCAUUGACUGAGAGGGAUUCCUCUCGGCCAGUGAAAGAGUACACUCUCACCGGCCGGGAGGAAUCCUUCUUGGCCGCUGAGAAU
rnacentral:miRNA from 1 species